GACGAACGCUGGCGGCGUGCUUAACACAUGCAAGUCGAACGGAAAGGCCCUGCUUUUGUGGGGUGCUCGAGUGGCGAACGGGUGAGUAACACGUGAGUAACCUGCCCUUGACUUUGGGAUAACUUCAGGAAACUGGGGCUAAUACCGGAUAGGAGCUCCUGCUGCAUGGUGGGGGUUGGAAAGUUUCGGCGGUUGGGGAUGGACUCGCGGCUUAUCAGCUUGUUGGUGGGGUAGUGGCUUACCAAGGCUUUGACGGGUAGCCGGCCUGAGAGGGUGACCGGCCACAUUGGGACUGAGAUACGGCCGAGACUCCUGCGGGAGGCAGAAGUGGGGAAUAUUGCACAAUGGGCGGAAGCCUGAGGCAGCAACGCCGCGUGCGGGAUGACGGCCUUCGGGUUGUAAACCGCUUUCGCCUGUGACGAAGCGUGAGUGACGGUAAUGGGUAAAGAAGCACCGGCUAACUACGUG
rnacentral:rRNA from 1 species